AUGCGCUUCGCUGAGCCCCGAGGCCUGGUGGGGCAGCUGCCACAGAAGGAAACGUUAGUGUGGGGAAAGCAAAAUGACUGUUAAGGAGACAUGCCUUCUCUCCAUUUCCAGGCUCUGUGAAAUAUGUUGCAAGGCCUAUCUGUCUGCAACAGGACAGUUUGAGCAUUGCCUGCCAUUCAUUGCUCAUGAAAAGAAGGUACAAAGACUGAGGGGAGUCAAGAUCAAAGUCUGUCUUUCCUGCAUAAAACAAGGAUAUUUCUCUGAGGCUUCAGGGGAUAAAAUUCUGUCUUGUGUGGGAUGUCACAGAAUCAUGGAAUGUGAGAACUGGGAAGAGGAAGCCUUCAGGAUCACUGUCGCUGGAAUCCUUGCUUGUCAGAAGAUGGAAUGCUUUAUAAAUUAUAAAGUGCUAUAGCCGUCUCACAUCCUUUUGAGGAGCAGCUGUGUAUAAAUUAUAAAUAAAA
rnacentral:lncRNA from 1 species